UCCUCCCCAUAUGUUGCUGUACCAUCUCACAAUUUCACAUCUCCAAAUAUUUGAUUUCAUCAUCAUCAAAAGGAAGUUUCAGUCCAACUUGUUAUAAGGAACAAUGGACAAAGAUAGAACCAAAAAGACAGAUCCCAAAGAAAACAAACCUCGCUCUAGCACUGUCACAGGCCAGAACAACCCGCCCCAAGAUGUUGACUUAGAAAAAUAUAUAAUGGGCGGGAUGGUCGGUAAGGCCAAUGGUGGGGCUCUGACUGAUGGGCGGAGGCGAUAGUAGGCAGGCCGACGGCUCGACCCGCCACCGCCGUGGCCCCUGGGGUGCGACACCAUCUAAGUGUGACUAUGGACCAUAAUGGUUAUCUAUGCCUGUUUGCUAGUAGUUUACAUGUGUUGUGGGGGCUUAUUCCUAAGAGAAAUAGUGUAAGAUGUUGCAUCUAUGGUCUCACUUGUUGAACCCUCAAGAUGUCGAACCUGUUUGGAACUUGGACUUAAUACUAUUGUUGUGAUAUUAUAAAAACAAGCCCAUCUAUUUCGGAGUGGGUGUAUUCUUGGAUUUAGAA